UACGGGGGGGGGCAAGCGUUGUUCGGAAUUACUGGGCGUAAAGGGCUCGUAGGUGGCCAACUAAGUCGGACGUGAAAUCCCUCAGCUUAACUGGGGAACUGCGUCCGAUACUGGAUGGCUCGAGUUUGGGAGAGGGAUGCGGAAUUCCAGGUGUAGCGGUGAAAUGCGCAGAUAUCAGGAGGAACACCGAUGGCGAAGGCAGGUCUCUGGGCCACUACUGACGCUGAGAAGCGAAAGCAUGGGGAGCGAACAGG
rnacentral:rRNA from 1 species